CUCCUCAAGCAGUACAAUCUAAGCUACCUCAACAAGCUAUCACUAAUUGGAAACCUCAGCAAAUUGGAUUCCCUUAAUGUAAUAUGGAUGGGGUAGCAUCUACCACCAUUUUUGGUAUUGGUUUAAUUAUCAAAGACUAUAGUGGAAAGCAUAUACAUAGGGAGUAUUUGGCAUUUCUUUAUUUCUUGUUUUUUAUUUUUUAAAAAAAAUACAGAAAUC
rnacentral:lncRNA from 1 species